UACGUAGGUGGCAAGCGUUGUCCGGAUUUACUGGGCGUAAAGAGCGCGCAGGCGGUCGUUCAAGUCGCGUGUGAAAGCCCCCGGCUCAACUGGGGAGGGUCACGCGAUACUGAUCGACUCGAAGGCAGGAGAGGGAAGUGGAAUUCCCGGUGUAGUGGUGAAAUGCGUAGAUAUCGGGAGGAACACCAGUGGCGAAGGCGACUUCCUGGCCUGUUCUUGACGCUGAGGCGCGAAAGCUAGGGGAGUAAACGGG
rnacentral:rRNA from 1 species